UGGCCGUAGGUUUUUAUCAUGGUUUCCAGUGCUCGUCUCUGAACUGGAUCUUCAACUGCAGAGACAUCCAUUCCAAAAUAUGUCUGAAGAAUAAAAGAAAACGAGAGGUUUCCACAUACAUUGCUGAACCUGACUAGAACCUGGCAGUGAGAAGGCUGUAAUGUGAUGUAUAUCCUUCCAGCCUCCCUCAGCCAACCAGGCAAAGCUGUCAACGGAGGAAGCGGGACAGCUUCACCUCCCCGGCAAGGGGCAGAAGACUGGAUGAGAAACAAAGUCAAGCUAUCAGACUUUCUAUCCUAGAAUAUGAAAUGAUAUCUAAAGACCAGCCCUUAAAAACAGCAGCAGCACGGAUGCUUCUUCAGAACCAUGCUGUACCAUCCAAAACUCCUCUCAACUUGCUGAAAUUUGAACACAUCUUUUUAUCUGGAGACUGUUAGAGACUAAUUUCAGCAUCAAGCAAGGCACAAUUUUUUAAAAAUAUGCUAAAUCUUCCGCAAGCCUGACCUGCUUUGCCGAGCAACAUUUUCUAUUACUACUUUCUCAUCUAUUCUGUUGAGUCAGCAUUGGCUGGGCACUAAAUAAAAUCUGGGGAGAAAUUAGGUUUAUAAAUAUUUCUUUUUUUCUCAGAAAGUAGGCAGGGCCACUUAAAGAAAUAUUUACUCACUCAGGAGAAAAAGUUAUUAAUCUAAAUGGAAUCCAGAAAAAUUAAAGGCAGUUCUGUGAAGCUAGAUGGAAUCACAGUAUCCAGAGUAGAGACUACAGAACUGUGGAACAGGAGAAGCACACUGAGGUUUCUGUUGGGAUUUUUAAAUUCUCUGCAGCUUCUUGAUAAAAAAAAAAGUAAUACUACAUUUCCUAUAAUUUAGAACAUGUAUGAACUCAACUGGUAGUUGUUAACCUAGCACUUUUGUCCCCCAGGGGACACUUGGCAAUGCCUAGAGACAUUUUUGGUUCUCACGGCUGGGUGGGAGGGGAUGCCACUAGCAUCUAGUACGUAGGGGCCAGGGAUACUGCUAAAUGUCCUACAAUGCACAGGACAGUCGCCAUAACAAAGAAUUAUGUAGCUCAAAAUGACUACAGUGCCAAGGUGAGAAACCCUGGACUAAAUGAGAAGUCUAGAAAUAAAUUAAAAAGCCAUCACACAUCAUUUUAAAUUAAUCAGAAGAAACUGAAUGGGGACUUAGGUUGUCCCUGUUUUCUUUCUUUUUUUUUUAAUCAUUCUUAAAUACACAAUGAGGAAAACCUAGCAUAAUAGUUGAUUGGGAGUUUUACUGGGAUAUUACUAUAUCCUUGGGCUACGUGAAAAGAAACGGAGGGCAGUAACAGUUCUGUUAUACACUGCAGUCAUCCCAAACCACAUCUGAAAUAUUCUUUUUUACUCUGACUGCCACUUUUUAUUCAGAGCAUUCACAAAUCAGAACAUGUCCAGAAAGAUGAGCAGAGCAGUGACAGGUUUGGAAACCAGAGCAAACACGGCUUAAAUAUGAGUUUUUAAACGCUUUACUAAGUACAGAACUGUCUUAUUUAUUUUUGUAUUCCUUGCAGCAGCUGGGAUAAGGCCUUGCAUAUAGGAAGCUCUCAACUGGAGGUCAAAUUAACUAAGGAUAAUUAGCCUGGGAAUAAACAGGAGUGAGAGGAGAAGGGGGACAGGGCAGUAAUGUUCAAAUAUUUGAACAGCUGUCAUACAGAACGUUUGUUUUGUGUACAGACAGAGGGACAAAUAUAAGAAAGCCCCUUUUAUAGACCAAGUAGUCUACAGUCUAUAAAAUUCAUUCCUCCAAGAGGUUGCAUGUGAGUAUAAAUAUAUACAGAAGUUCAAGAAGGGUUGAGUAAAUGAACGGAUGAUUCCAUAAAUGAUUCUGGGCACCAGGAGGAACAACCACAGGACUAGUACCAUGGUCCUCACUGGAAACUGAUAGGUGAGUGUGUCCCUGUUUGCACGCAAAGCAGUAACUUCAUCUCUAUCUAAGUCAUCUUCAGGCCUGAGGGCUGCCACUGAAAAUGCCGAGGUAGAAGAUUAACUAGACAGUUACUAUAGUGAAGGUGGCAGUGUGGCUCUCCUAUAACCACUUACAACUCACUCAGUUGUCAGAACAACUGACAAUAACAUAUUCCCCUUUAGGGGCCAAAGAUAACUUAGGUGAUCUCAAAUAAUUAUUAAGUUGAACAUUAUAAAAAAGUGAA